rnacentral:rRNA from 1 species
CCUACGGGAGGCAGCAGUGAGGAAUAUUGGUCAAUGGACGCAAGUCUGAACCAUCCAUGCCGCGUGCAGGAUGACGGUCCUAUGGAUUGUAAACUGCUUUUGUACGAGAAGAAACACUCCGACGUGUCGGAGCUUGACGGUAUCGUAAGAAUAAGGAUCGGCUAACUCCGUGCCAGCAGCCGCGGUAAU